rnacentral:rRNA from 1 species
UCUAGAGGAAAAAGGGUAAUACUUUUAAAGGAAACCUUUAUUUAUUGGCGGCCUUUUUCCUUAUUAGAGGAACUCGUCUCAUAAUCGUCAAUCCUCGUUAAUUUUUACUUUUUUCUAUCUCUUAUACCGCCGUCUAAAGAUUAAAAUUAUUUUUUCUCAAAAAAAGAAUUUUAACAAGUCAGGUAAAGGUGAGGAUGAAAUAAAAAAGAGAAGAUAAGUUACUUAUAAAAAUUAUUUUUGGAUUUAUUAUUUAACUCUUUAUUGAAAAAGGAUUUAAUAGUAAUUUUUCAAUAAUAUUUCAAAAUGAAUUAGAAAAUUAGGUGU